UACAGAGGUCUCGAGCGUUGUUCGGAUUCAUUGGGCGUAAAGGGUGCGUAGGCUGUAGACUAAGUUUGGUGUGAAAUCCUGGGGCUUAACUCCAGAAAUGCACUGAAUACUGGUUUGCUGGAGGACUGGAGAGGAGAUUGGAAUUCACGGUGUAGCAGUGAAAUGCGUAGAUAUCGUGAGGAAGACCAGUGGCGAAGGCGAAUCUCUGGACAGAUCCUGACGCUGAGGCACGAAGGCCAGGGGAGCAAACGGG
rnacentral:rRNA from 1 species